rnacentral:rRNA from 1 species
GAUGAACGCUGGCGGCGUGCCUAAUACAUGCAAGUCGAGCGAACAGAUAAGGAGCUUGCUCCUUUGACGUUAGCGGCGGACGGGUGAGUAACACGUGGGUAACCUACCUAUAAGACUGGGAUAACUUCGGGAAACCGGAGCUAAUACCGGAUAAUAUUCCGAACCGCAUGGUUCGAUAGUGAAAGAUGGUUUUGCUAUCACUUGUAGAUGGACCCGCGCCGUAUUAGCUAGUUGGUAAGGUAACGGCUUACCAAGGCGACGAUACGUAGCCGACCUGAGAGGGUGAUCGGCCACACUGGAACUGAGACACGGUCCAGACUCCUACGGGAGGCAGCAGUAGGGAAUCUGCCGCAAUGGGCGAAAGCCUGACGGAGCAACGCCGCGUGAGUGAUGAAGGUCUUCGGAUCGUAAAACUCUGUUAUUAGGGAAGAACAUACGUGUAAGUAACUGUGCACGUCUUGACGGUACCUAAUCAGAAAGCCACGGCUAACUACGUG